UGGUGGAGUGAUUUGUCUGCUUAAUUGCGAUAACGAACGAGACCUUAACCUGCUAAAUAGUCCGAUUUGCUUUGGCAGAUUGCAGACUUCUUAGAGGGACUAUCGGCUCAAGCCGAUGGAAGUUUGAGGCAAUAACA
rnacentral:rRNA from 1 species